rnacentral:lncRNA from 1 species
CGUGGGGGGCGCGGGCGAAGUUCGUCCGCCGGACUCGGAAUGGGGCGAGACUUUGCAAAGGGCCUCGGGGUGCCUGCAGGAAGUCGCGGGCACAGCCGCGUCCAGAAAUAAGCACCCGAAGGUCGUGGUGCCAAAACCCCCCAGCGGAAAAAUGGCCAAAAAACAGGUGGGCUAUAGCCUUGGUGGGGGGCGCGGGCGAAGUUCGUCCGCCGGACUCGGAAUGGGGCGAGACAUUGCGCGGGGCCUCGGGGCGCCAAAAAUAAGCCGCGGGCAAUGCCGCGCCCAAAAAUAAGCGCCCGAAGGUCGUGGUGCCAAAACCCCCCAGCUGAAAAAUGGCCAAAAAACGGGUGGGCUAUAGCCUAAGUGGGGGGCGCGGGCGAAGUUCGUCCGCCGGAGUCGGAAUGGGGCGAGACUUUGCGAGGGGCCUCGGGGUGCCAAAAAUAAGCCGCGGGCAAAGCCGCGCCCAAAAAUAAGCGCCCAAAGGUCGUGGUGCCAAAACCCCCCAGCGGAAAAAUGGCCAAAAAACGGGUGGGCUAUAGCCUUGGUGGGGGGCGUGGGCGAAGUUCGUCCGCGGGACUCGGAAUGGCACCAGACUUGGCGGGCGGCCUCCGUGUGCCAAAAAUAGGCCACGGGCACAGCCGCGCCCAAAAACCAGCCCCCGAAGGUCGGGGUCCCAAGACCCCCCAGCGGAAAAAUGGCCAAAAAAAGGGUGGGCUAUAGCCUUGGUGGGGGGCGUGGGCGAAGUUCGUCCGCGGGACUCGGAAUGGCACCAGACUUGGCGGGCGGCCUCCGUGUGCCAAAAAUAAGCCGCGGGCAAUGCCGCGCCCAAAAAUAAGCGCCCGAAGGUCGUGGUGCCAAAACCCCCCAGCGUGAAAAAUGGCCAAAAAACGGGUGGGCUAUAGCCUAAGUGGGGGGCGCGGGCGAAGUUCGUCCGCCGGAGUCGGAAUGGCACCAGACUUGGCGGGGGGCCUCGGUGUGCCAAAAAUAGGCCGCGGGCACAGCCGCGCCCAAAAAUCAGCCCCCGAAGGUCGGGGUCCCAAGACCCCCCAGCGGAAAAAUGGCCAAAAAACGGGUGGGCUAUAGCCUUGGUGGGGGGCGUGGGCGAAGUUCGUCCGCGGGACUCGGAAUGGCACCAGACUUGGCGGGCGGCCUCCGUGUGCCAAAAAUAGGCCACGGGCACAGCCGCGCCCAAAAAACAGCCCCCGAAGGUCGGGGUCCCAAGACCCCCCAGCGGAAAAAUGGCCAAAAAACGGGUGGGCUAUAGCCUUGGUGGGGGGCGUGGGCGAAGUUCGUCCGCGGGACUCGGAAUGGCACCAGACUUGGCGGGCGGCCUCCGUGUGCCAAAAAUAGGCCACGGGCACAGCCGCGCCCAAAAAACAGCCCCCGAAGGUCGGGGUCCCAAGACCCCCCAGCGGAAAAAUGGCCAAAAAACGGGUGGGCUAUAGCCUUGGUGGGGGGCGUGGGCGAAGUUCGUCCGCGGGACUCGGAAUGGCACCAGACUUGGCGGGCGGCCUCCGUGUGCCAAAAAUAGGCCACGGGCACAGCCGCGCCCAAAAACCAGCCCCCGAAGGUCGGGGUCCCAAGACCCCCCAGCGGAAAAAUGGCCAAAAAACGGGUGGGCUAUAGCCUUGGUGGGGGGCGUGGGCGAAGUUCGUCCGCGGGACUCGGAAUGGCACCAGACUUGGCGGGCGGCCUCCGUGUGCCAAAAAUAGGCCACGGGCACAGCCGCGCCCAAAAAACAGCCCCCGAAGGUCGGGGUCCCAAGACCCCCCAGCGGAAAAAUGGCCAAAAAACGGGUGGGCUAUAGCCUUGGUGGGGGGCGUGGGCGAAGUUCGUCCGCGGGACUCGGAAUGGCACCAGACCUUGGCGGGCGGCCUCCGUGUGCCAAAAAUAAGCCGCGGGCAACGCCGCGCCCAAAAAUAAGCCCCCGAAGGUUGGGGUGCCCAAACCCCCCAGGUGAAAAAUGGCCAAAAAACGGGUGGGCUAUAGCCUAAGUGGGGGGCGCGGGCGAAGUUCGUCCGCGGGCGUCGGAAUGGGGCCGAGACUUGGCGGGGGGCCUCGGGGUGCCAAAAAUAAGCCGCGGGCACAGCCGCGCCCAAAAAUCAGCCCCCGAAGGUCGGGGUCCCAAGACCCCCCAGCGGAAAAAUGGCCAAAAAACGCGUGGGCUAUAGCCUC